rnacentral:rRNA from 1 species
GACGAACGCUGGCGGCGUGCUUAACACAUGCAAGUCGAACGGAAAGGCCUCUUUCGGGGGGUACUCGAGUGGCGAACGGGUGAGUAACACGUGAGUAACCUGCCCUUGACUUUGGGAUAACUUCAGGAAACUGGGGCUAAUACCGGAUAGGAGCUCCUGCUGCAUGGUGGGGGUUGGAAAGUUUCGGCGGUUGGGGAUGGACUCGCGGCUUAUCAGCUUGUUGGUGGGGUAGUGGCUUACCAAGGCUUUGACGGGUAGCCGGCCUGAGAGGGUGACCGGCCACAUUGGGACUGAGAUACGGCCCAGCCUCCUACGGGAGGCAGCAGUGGGGAAUAUUGCACAAUGGGUGGAAGCCUGAUGCAGCAACGCCGUGUGCGGGAUGACGGCCUUCGGGUUGUAAACCGCUUUCGCUCAUGACGAAGCUUUGUGUGACGGUAGUGGGUAAAGAAGCACCGGCUAACUACGUG